GGCUCGAUUUUCUAGGGGUAUGCUUCUCGCUUUGGGUGCGAGAGGUCCCGGGUUCAAAUCCCGGACGAGCCC
rnacentral:tRNA from 1 species